UACGUAGGGGGCAAGCGUUGUCCGGAAUCAUUGGGCGUAAAGAGCGUGUAGGCGGUUCGGUAAGUCGGCUGUGAAAGUCCAGGGCUCAACCCUGGGAUGCCGGUCGAUACUGCCGGACUAGAGUUCGGAAGAGGCGAGUGGAAUUCCCGGUGUAGCGGUGGAAUGCGCAGAUAUCAGGAGGAACACCGAUGGCGAAGGCAGGUCUCUGGGCCACUACUGACGCUGAGAAGCGAAAGCAUGGGGAGCGAACAGG
rnacentral:rRNA from 1 species